AGAGUUUGAUCCUGGCUCAGAGCGAACGCUGGCGGCAGGCUUAACACAUGCAAGUCGAGCGCCUGUAGCAAUACAGGAGCGGCAGACGGGAGAGUAACACGUGGGAACGUACCCUUCAGUUCGGAACAACCAAGGGAAACUUUGGCUAAUACCGAAUACGUCCGUAAGGAGAAAGAUUUAUCGCUGAAGGAUCGGCCCGCGUCUGAUUAGCUAGUUGGUGAGGUAACGGCUCACCAAGGCGACGAUCAGUAGCUGGUCUGGGAGGAUGAUCAGCCUCAUUGGGACUGAGACACGGCCCAAACUCCUACGGGAGGCAGCAGUGGGGAAUAUUGGACAAUGGGCGCAAGCCUGAUCCAGCCAUGCCGCGUGGAUGAUGAAGGCCUUAGGGUUGUAAA
rnacentral:rRNA from 1 species